UACGGAAGGCAGCAGUGGGGAAUAUUGCACAAUGGGCGAAAGCCUAAUGCAGCUAUGCCGCGUGUAUGAAGAAGGCCUUAGGGUUGUAAAGUACUUUCAUCGGGGAGGAAAAAACAAAACUAAUAAUUUUAUUUCUUGACGUUACCCGAAAAAGAAGCACCGGCUAACUCCGUGCCAGCAGCCGCGGUAAUACGGAGGGUGCUAGCGUUAAUCAGAAUUACUGGGCGUAAAGAGCACGUAGGUGGUUUUUUUAAAGUCAGAUGUGAAAUCCCUGGGCUUAACCUAGGAACUGCAUUUUGAAACUGAAAUACUAGAGUAUCGUAGAGGGAGGUAGAAUUCUAGGUGUAGCGGUGAAAUGCGUAGAUAUCUGGAGGAAUACCUGUGGCGAAAGCGGCCUCCUAAACGAAUACUGACACUGAGGGUGCGAAAGCGUGGGGAGCAAACAGGGAUUAGAUACC
rnacentral:rRNA from 1 species